GAUCCAGUGGCGAAGUGGUUUCGCAUCCGUUUAUACUAUCUUCUAGGAUCACUACUUUAUGCGGAAGGCACCCGUUCGAUUCGGGUCUGGGUCA